ensembl:lncRNA
GUUGGAUUAAGAAUUUAUUUAUAGCUAACUGCAGAUGGGCAAACUAACUUUUACAAAAUGACCUUCGUUCAAGUUUACAAUAAGUGUAAUCAGUCAUUGUUUUUUCAUUUAUGCCAUAGUGAAGGACUGAUAGGUAUAAGUAAUCAUGAUGCAGUACUACACUAUCCAUUAUCCUAAAGCAAGACUGAUCAACCAUGGAAAAACCAUGGAAAUGGAGCUGAACCAUUAUCACACACUUGUUUCAAAAGUGUCCAUAUAUGAAAUUCUGCCCUGUGACUGCAACACUAUAGUGUGUCUUGUGUUACUUUUUUACUUUGUACCGAAUUUGACUGCUUAACACAACGUGGUAAUACGUUUUGAAGAGUAAGGUCAAAGUCAUAUGUUCAGUAGUGCUGAUUCUACAGACGACGUUGUCUACUGUGCGGCUCUAAACACAAGGAUGCACAGGUAUGUGAACUCAGUGUAUCAUGUGGCCAGAUUCAGAUAAACGGAGAACAUUGUGGUAGUCCUUGAGUAUAUUUCAGCAGCAUGAUAUAAUUAUAGCUGUGUAUGUUGACAUUCUCACAGUAUGCCAAUAGGAGUGUGAUUGAGUUGACUCACAAUUGUACUCUCAUCUUCCAGGAUUGUUCUGUUGCCAGUGGGAAGCCAUGUACGGUCACAGAAACUCUCACGCAUAUUUUUCACAAUUUACUUAUUUCCAGAGGUGGUGAGGCUGCAUGAUUACCAGCUGAGAUAUUACUUCCAGAUGUGUUUUCUUCAACGAGGAUCAGAUAAGCAUCAGAUCACCAAGUCUGCUAUUUGUACCAGAAGCACUACUUUGCUUGAAAGAUACAUAGAGAGUUACACUAAAGCAAACAGACAUGGAGGACAAGCUUAGGUCUUGGACUUAAGGAAUCUAUUAGGUAUAUAGAUCUGAAGGUAACUAAUUAAGAGAUUAGUACAGGUUUUAUUUGGGAUGGACUUAAAAGGGAUGAAGGGGUAAAAGCAGAGGGAGUUGGCUC